rnacentral:ncRNA from 1 species
CAGAGUAAGUGACUGUGCGUUAAGUGCCGAAUGAACGGGGAGUUGUCAUACGGACGAAAAGCUUAGCCUUGCGGUACAGUUACUGCAUCCCGCUGU